rnacentral:lncRNA from 1 species
CCAGGGGUCACAUGAGCCUUUCCAGAGGCCUGUGGAGCUGGAUCACGUGGAACCCUCACUGGGACCCGAGGGUCCUUCCCACUGAGCACCAGCACGAUUUACACAUCUUUAUACCAGCACAACCUCCAGCUAGGUCAAGAUUUAGAACAUUGAUGAUGCCCCAAAUGGUUCUCUCAUUCUCUUGGUAAUGUUUUUCAAGACAUUUCUGAUUUUUUUAGUGAGGUAUAAUGUUUUUAUGAAUUUUUGUAUUUAUGUUU